rnacentral:lncRNA from 1 species
ACUAAUGUUGAGAGUUACAAAAUACUUAGGACGUGUUUGGUUCGCUUUUUUUUCGCCCUGGAAUCGGAAUCGAAAUCGGAAUGGGUAAAUCCGUUUGUGGGUGUUUGGUACGCGGGAGUCCCAUUCCAAUUCCGAUUCCCGAGUGGAAUGGAAAUCCCCCAAUCACCUCUUUUUCAAUCCGGCUUAGGAGGCCGAAUUGAAAGUUGAAUCCGGACGGAAUGGAUAUUUAUUCGGAUUAAAUUUAUUUUUUUAAUUUUUUUAAUUAAAAUAUGAGUUAAAAUUCAAAAAUUAAAUAUAUAAUUUUAAAUUUUAAUUUAAACCUAAAUUAAAAAUUAAAAUUUAAUCAAGUAUUUCGAAUCUAACUUAU